GAUGAAGAACGUAGCAAAAUGCGAUAAGUAAUGUGAAUUGCAGAAUUCAGUGAAUCAUCGAAUCUUUGAACGCACAUUGCGCCCGCCAGUAUUCUGGCGGGCAUGCCUGUUCGAGCGUCAUUUCAACCCUCAAGCCCUCGGGUUUGGUGUUGGGGAUCGGCGAGCCUUUCUGGCAAGCCGGCCCCGAAAUCUAGUGGCGGUCUCGCUGCAGCCUCCAUUGCGUAGUAGUAAAACCCUCGCAACUGGAUCGCGGCGCGGCCAAGCCGUUAAACCCCCAACUUCUGAAUGUUGACCUCGGAUCAGGUAGGAAUACCCGCUGAACUUAAGCAUAUCAAUAAGCGGAGGA
rnacentral:misc_RNA from 1 species